CAAAGUAGGGGUCGGAGGCUCAGAAACCAGGGAGUUAAGGGCUCCAGCAACAGUUACCCAAGAGGAGAAGAGCCUGCAGAUUUAUUAUUCUGCAGAGAGAUUGGAAGCACUGGCUGGCGUGGUGCAGAGACCAGAGGUAGAGUCCGGCAGGUGAACAAGCUUGGGAGGGCCAGCUUGGAGGGGUGUUUUCAGUGCCUGAAGGACAAAGAGCACCAAAAAACCAUCAAUUUUAAGACAGACCUUGUCACAAACCUGUCAAAUCUGGAAAGCCAACAAAGCAGAGAGCUCAGCUUUCGCCGUCCAGCCUCAAACACCCAAAGGUUUUGGGUCACAUCUGGACCAGAAGAACAGCUGGAAGACUGUUCAGCCCUUCUUCCCUCAGUCUGAAAGGAAUCGUGCAUCAAUAUAAACCUUUUGGCCAUAGUAAGGGCAUGAAGCAUCCAUUUACAUUGUCCAGUUGUCAAAUUCCAUAUGGUAGGAUGAUGAGGAACCAUGGACUUUCCUUCACUGGAGGAAUAACCAACCCCUCCAACUCUACAAUUCUAUGAUUUAAUUUAGGUGGCUACCACUAUGCCCUACAGGAGCAAGUUCUACAGCUCAACUAUGUGCUGUAGGAAGAAGGACUUUCUAUUAUCUGUCCUGAAUCUUCCAAAUUAAUAGAAUCAUAGAACUAUAGAGUUGGAAGGCACCCCAAGACUCAUCUAGUCCAACCCCCUGCUCUGAAGGAAAGUCAGCUAAAGAUUCCCUGACAGAUGGCCACCCAACCUCUGCUUAACCUCCAAUGAAGGAGAGCCCACCACCUCCCAAGGGAGACCAUUCUGCUGUCGAACAGCUCUGUCAGAAAGUUUUUCCUGAUGUCUAGUCAGAAUCUCCUUUCUUGGAGCUUGAAGCCAUUGGUUCGAGUCCUAGCUUCCAGAACAGGAGAAAACAAGCUUGCUCCAUCUUCCAUGUGACAGCCCUUUAGAUAUUUGAAGAUGGCUUUCUUGGGCUCCAUGAUCACUGCAGAUGGUAUCAGCAGUCACAAAAUUAAAAGACGCCUGCUUCUUGGGAGAAAAGUGAUGACAAACCUAGACAGCAUCUUAAAAAGCAGAGACAUCACCUUGCCAACAAAGGUCCGUAUAGUUAAAGCUAUGGUUUUCCCAGUAGUGAUGUAUGGAAGUGAGAGCUGGACCAUAAAGAAGGCUGAUCGCUGAAGAAUUGAUGCUUUUGAGUUAUGGUGCUGGAGGAGACUCUUGAGAGUCCCAUGGACUGUAAGAAGAUCAAACCUACCCAUUCUGAAGGAAAUCAGCCCUGAGUGCUCACUGGAAGGACAGAUCGUGAAGCUGAGGCUCUAAUACUCAUGGCCACCUCAUGAGAAGAGAAGACUCCCUGGAAAAGACCCUGAUGGUGGGAAAGAUUGAGGGCACAAGGAGAAGGGGACGACAGAGGACGAGAUGGUUGGACAGUGUUCUCGAAGCUACCAGCAUGAGUUUGACCAAACUGCGGGAGGCAGUGGAAGACAGGAGUGCCUGGCGUGCUCUGGUCCAUGGGGUCACGAAGAGUCAGACACGACUAAACGACUAAAUGACU